rnacentral:rRNA from 1 species
GAUGAACGCUGGCGGCGUGCCUAAUACAUGCAAGUCGAGCGAACAGACGAGGAGCUUGCUCCUCUGACGUUAGCGGCGGACGGGUGAGUAACACGUGGAUAACCUACCUAUAAGACUGGGAUAACUUCGGGACACCGGAGCUAAUACCGGAUAAUAUAUUGAACCGCAUGGUUCAAUAGUGAAAGACGGUUUUGCUGUCACUUCUAGAUGGAUCCGCGCCGCAUUAGCUAGUUGGUAAGGUAACGGCUUACCAAGGCAACGAUGCGUAGCCGGACUGAGAGGGUGAUCGGCCACACUGGAACUGAGACACGGUCCAGACUCCUACGGGAGGCAGCAGUAGGGAAUCUUCCGCAAUGGGCGAAAGCCUGACGGAGCAACGCCGCGUGAGUGAUGAAGGUCUUCGGAUCGUAAAACUCUGUUAUUAGGGAAGAACAAAUGUGUAAGUAACUAUGCACGUCUUGACGGUACCUAAUCAGAAAGCCACGGCUAACUACGUG